UUACACAUGCAAGUCGAACGAUGAUCCGGUGCUUGCAUCGGGGAUUAGUGGCGAACGGGUGAGUAACACGUGAGUAACCUGCCCUUAACUCUGGGAUAAGCCUGGGAAACUGGGUCUAAUACCGGAUAUGACUCCUCAUCGCAUGGUGGGGGGUGGAAAGCUUUUUUGUGGUUUUGGAUGGACUCGCGGCCUAUCAGCUUGUUGGUGAGGUAAUGGCUCACCAAGGCGACGACGGGUAGCCGGCCUGAGAGGGUGACCGGCCACACUGGGACUGAGACACGGCCCAGACUCCUACGGGAGGCAGCAGUGGGGAAUAUUGCACAAUGGGCGCAAGCCUGAUGCAGCGACGCCGCGUGAGGGAUGACGGCCUUCGGGUUGUAAACCUCUUUCAGUAGGGAAGAAGCGAAAGUGACGGUACCUGCAGAAGAAGCGCCGGCUAACUACGUGCCAGCAGCCGCGGUAAUACGUAGGGCGCAAGCGUUAUCCGGAAUUAUUGGGCGUAAAGAGCUCGUAGGCGGUUUGUCGCGUCUGCCGUGAAAGUCCGGGGCUCAACUCNNGAUCUGCGGUGGGUACGGGCAGACUAGAGUGAUGUAGGGGAGACUGGAAUUCCUGGUGUAGCGGUGAAAUGCGCAGAUAUCAGGAGGAACNNCGAUGGCGAAGGCAGGUCUCUGGGCAUUAACUGACGCUGAGGAGCGAAAGCAUGGGGAGCGAACAGGAUUAGAUACCCCUGGGUAGUCCAUGCCGUAAACGUUGGGCACUAGGUGUG
rnacentral:rRNA from 1 species